GGUGGUGCGUCGAACCUGAACAGGUGAGACGAAGAGCUUCCCAAGCUUCAUACGAGGGUUCGAUUCCCUUCACCCGCUCCA
rnacentral:tRNA from 1 species